UACGUAGGGUGCAAGCGUUGUCCGGAAUUAUUGGGCGUAAAGGGCUCGUAGGCGGUCUGUCGCGUCGGCUGUGAAAUCCCGAGGCUCAACCUCGGGUCUGCAGUCGAUACGGGCAAACUAGAGUAUUGUAGGGGAGACUGGAAUUCCUGGUGUAGCGGUGAAAUGCGCAGAUAUCAGGAGGAACACCGGUGGCGAAGGCGGGUCUCUGGGCAAUAACUGACGCUGAGGAGCGAAAGCGUGGGGAGCGAACAGG
rnacentral:rRNA from 1 species